rnacentral:rRNA from 1 species
ACUCAAAUGAAUUGACGGGGACCCGCACAAGCGGUGGAUCAUGUGGUUUAAUAUGACGCUACGCGUAGAACCUUACCGAGGCUUGACAUCCCUGGAAUCCCCUGGAAACAGGGGAGUGCCGCAAGGAAUCAGGUGACAGGUGCUGCAUGGCCGUCGUCAGCUCGUGUCGUGAGAUGUUGGGUUAAGUCCCGCAACGAGCGCAACCCUUGUCGUAUGUUGUAUUUUUCAUGCGAGACUGCCCGGGCCAACCGGGAGGAAGGUGGGGAUGACGUCAGGUCGGCAUGGCCCUUACGCCUCGGGCCACACACGUGAUACAAUGGCCGGUACAACGCGCCGCUAAGCCGCGAGGCGGAGCUAAUCGCAUCAAAACCGGUCUCAGUUCGGAUAGGAGGCUGCAACUCGCCUCCUUGAAGCUGGAAUCGCUAGUAACCGUAGGUCAGCACACUACGGUGAAUACGUUCCCGGGUCUUGUACACACCGCCCGU